GGUGUAGCUCAUGGUGGAGUGCACACUUGGCAUGUGUGAGGCCUGGGUUCCAUCCCCAGCACC
rnacentral:tRNA from 1 species